rnacentral:rRNA from 1 species
GAUGAACGCUAGCUACAGGCUUAACACAUGCAAGUCGAGGGGAAACGACAUCGAAAGCUUGCUUUUGAUGGGCGUCGACCGGCGCACGGGUGAGUAACGCGUAUCCAACCUGCCCACCACUUGGGGAUAACCUUGCGAAAGUAAGACUAAUACCCAAUGAUAUCUCUAGAAGACAUCUGAAAGAGAUUAAAGAUUUAUCGGUGAUGGAUGGGGAUGCGUCUGAUUAGCUUGUUGGCGGGGUAACGGCCCACCAAGGCUACGAUCAGUAGGGGUUCUGAGAGGAAGGUCCCCCACAUUGGAACUGAGACACGGUCCAAACUCCUACGGGUGGCAGCAGUGAGGAAUAUUGGUCAAUGGACGAGAGUCUGAACCAGCCAAGUAGCGUGCAGGAAGACGGCCCUAUGGGUUGUAAACUGCUUUUAUAAGGGAAUAAAGUGAGUCUCGUGAGACUUUUUGCAUGUACCUUAUGAAUAAGGACCGGCUAAUUCCGUGCCAGCCGCCGCGGUAA